rnacentral:misc_RNA from 1 species
CACAUCUAAAAACUAGAGGCUGUCAUUUUGCGGACGUCAGCCAAAAAAUUGUUUCGGCUCGUCUUCACAGAAACUGAGAGAGAAGAAAAUAUAUUGCAAAAAUGGCGAAUUUUGUUCUGCGACUGCCAGCAACCAGCUGCAGGAGCUUCUCUAUCUCAGCAUCAUCCAACGGUAAUGGUUCUAUUUGAAUCUUUGUCUCUGUUUUUCUCUAGCCAGUAGUUUUUCACUUUCUCCCUUUCACACAGGGGCUGCUCCUGGCAAUGAUAUUGGUAAAUCACAAAAUGGGGGCCCAGUGAUUUUGGAGCUUCCACUGAAUAAGAUAAGGAGGCCCCUACUGCGAACCAGAGCUAAUGAUCCAAAUAAAGUCCAAGAACUGAUGGACAGUAUUAAACAAAUUGGUCUCCAAGUCCCUGUAUUUAUAUAUCAUUUUCUGCUUUCUCUGCAGUUAUUUUCCUUUUUUUUUCGGUUCUUUUGCUUUUGUUUUAUCUUUACUUCCGAUUCGUCUGGACUUCUUUUGGAAUAAAUCAUUUGCAAUUUAUAUUUCUUUGAAAAUGAAUUUUUUUCUAAGUAAAAAAAUUGAAUUCUAAACGUGAGAAUUGAAAAUCAAUUGAAUUGAUAUUCCAAACAGGGAGUUAAUGAAUUCUUUGCAAUUGCGAAAGGGUAUACGCAGUGGAAAUAAGGGUAAUUUCUGUUCAUGUGAUUUUUCUUACAGCGCUAAUUCAAAUUGAGGUUCUUUGAUCUGGGCAUGUUUUUGGUUGAUUAAUAGAAUUGCAAAAGAAGAAUGUAGAAAGGAUGUGAGAGGAUUGAGCAGUUGCAGGGGUUCAAAUGCUGCGUGGUUAGUGAGGGAAGUAGAAUAGCAAUGAGGUAAAAUGGCGUUUGCUAUACCAAAAAAUAUUAAGGAAGUCCUAAUUCAUACCAUUUUAAGAAGUAUUAUGGAGUGAUUAUCAAAGUGGAAUACAAGGGAAUAUCCGUAGUAAGAAAUGUUAGGGAAGUAACUUAAGUUAGCAACAAAGCAGUGAUAAGUUUGUAUAAUCUUUGGGAGCGAGAGAAUUGUUCAAAGAGAAUAUGAAUCGGUUUUGAAUGUAAAAUGCCAGUAAUGGAGAAAAGGGAGGGUGUUUAUAAUCUAGAAAGCCAGGUUCCAAUGAUACUGUGGUUAGUGAUGAAUUAGAAGGUGUCAAAUUUAUAAAGAACACAUCAUUGACGUUUGAGCCAACUGUUGAAAGAGAGCUGACAACACUCUAAGCCUGCGAGGUUAAGUCUCUCUAAAUCAUUCUAUUAAUCUGAAAUUAAACUUGCAAUCCUAUUGCUAAUUUCAGAAAUUAAGUUGAAUUGCAGCUUGAUUGAAAUCUUCAAUUCCCUGAGAUGUGUGCUUGGAUUUUUUCUCCAAAUAAUGGAGACAAAGACAAUGGUAGUAAUUAUUGAAUUAGUAUUUGAUAAUAGAAAUUUACUGAAUUGAAUGUAAAUAAACUUGAUUUUAAUUUCAUGAGUCCCACACUGCAGGCACAUCUUGUCCACGCCAACUCAUCUAGUCAGUAAUUUAGUCAUCAUGGGUAGAGUACCGUUACAAGCUGGGAGUCACCAGAU